UCUUUGAAGUACAGUUGGGUACCUAGAAACCGGAGACAUCCAGAGAUACCAUCAAUAACUGCAAAACCAAGGAACUGUAGCAGUAACUUAUCAUCUGAAAAGGUGAAAAAUAGUCUGGAAAAAAGAGGAAAACAUCCUGAGAAAGUAUGAAUCGGUAGCUGCCAUUGGCUGUUCUAACUUCAAGAAGAGGAAAACAGUCUGGAAAAAUAAAAAUUGGUGUGAAAGAACAGAAAACAUCAUCAUCUGUUGGCUGCCCCAGGUUGAGUUCUCCACAUGAACUUUCUAUGUCUUGGACCCUCCUGGGGAUGCCUGGCUGACUCCAGCCUCCAUGACACAGAACAUCUCUGAAAAUCCUGCAAACCCACGGUUGUGACCUCUAUGCACCCGCAGGCUGUGUAGCCCUUCAGGUCGUGACAUGAGAGAAAAGAAUUUCCCCAAAGAGCUCUGAGCCAGAGGAGUGGAAGUGUUUGCGAGGUCGGCAUCGGUGGUGCCAUGGCCAAGAGGUGACCUCGGUGAGCUGAGAAGCAAACGUGGAAAGAAAAGCUUUGGGAAAUGGCAAUGUGAAGAAGCUGGGACUGGGAAAAUUGGAGAGUGCUGCUGGAAAAAGAUGUUUGGACUUAGUGCUCCACUCCGCUAUGUAUGGGCAUUUCAUGAAAGGAAAAAAAUUAUCUCCACUUGGAUUUAACUCUCCUUUUGCUUUUCUUACACCACUUCAGCCACAGUUGCUGCUGCCUCCAUUUCCUCUUUGGGUUACUGCUGGCAUUAAUCUCUCCAGGAAGUUCUACCGACUGCUGCCUUGAUGGCAACGUGACAGGCAUUUGAAGAAACAUAUAGACAUGCAGCUGUAAAAUGACAGAAUUUUAUAAGUAUAUUUUACUUACUUAAAUAAUUUUUAGCCCAGCUCAACCUGGUAUGCCUGGCCACUAACACCAGAUUAAUGGCUUGUCAAUUCCCCAGGAAAGAAAGGCCAAGAAGCAUUUAAUUGUAAUGGUCUCUUUAAAUACAAUAUAUAUUAUAUUUUACAAGAAACCGUAUCUAUGGUCUUCCACGGAAACAAAACCAAAAACAAAGCCAUGCGUUGCAUGAGAGUAUUGCCAGAAAGACAGUUGCAGCCCUUGUGAUGUCCUUGGCCCAGCGAAGGAUGGCUGUCAGAGGAAUGAGGUGGUGUCUCCAGCUCCAGCGGCUGCUGCUUUCCAGCCUCUGCUCUCCCCCUAAGGACGAGAAGUGGGGUGGGAGGACAAAUGCUUCUCAUGCCUCGUCUGGGAGCCAUGUGGAGAGUUUCUGGUGGGAAGCUGGUUGGCAGCAAGGAAAGUUUAUGGAUCGAGUGUGUGAGCCAGCAGAGAAGACGCUGGGUAAGUCUAAAAAUGUCCAGGCAAAAUAUGCAAGCCAAAGUACAUAUACGCAGAAGAGAGAAUGCAGGGCAGCGGGUGGAUAAACAGUAGAAGAAUGAAGUAGCUGCACAAACAUUACUGGAAAACUUCAGACUGGUACAGAAAGGGCUGUGAGGCCACUUAGAUACUUGAAGGCUUCUAUCGGUGUACUGGGGUCUCAGCUCCCAUUACUGUCACCGAGAUUUAGGGAGCAGUUCAACAGGUCACUGAUAGGCAACUCCAACUGAUGGGCCCUUGUAAUCUGAGCUGGCUGCUCCAGCUGCUCUUCCAGAAAGGCACAGGUCACGUCUGCCGGCCUCUUACCAAUGCCUGGGCUACCCUAAGGCUUUUCAAAUGG